AACCUCACGCAAAUCCUUUCUCAAAGUCUCAAAAUCCUUUACUCAAACGUCACGAACCAUCAGAACUUCUCGCCCACCAUCCCAGAACUCCUUGGUCACUGUUGGAAAGUAGGGUUCGAAAUAUGAAAGUUGAAAUACGAAGUGUUCUUCUGACCUUGAGUCUCCAGCCUACGUUGAGGAAUCUAUUUCCAUCUUCAUCAAGAAUGAGCAUCACUUCGUCCUCGAUUGCGACUGUUUCUCGCACUUUCAAUCUUUGUCGCUUGAUGCUGCGUUAGACUAGGCUCUAUUGCAUGAAUUCUUAAGGUACGAUUUUCGUCUAUAUUUCUCCGAUUUGCUUCACGAUUGGCUUGGUAAACACUGUAAUCAUUGUCGGUGAGAGAGACGAGAAUUUGAAAAUAUAUUAACCACUUUUUAAAAUUUUUUCUGGGUAUUUAACUUUCACACAACUUUUUAUCAUUCUGAUUCAUAAACCUUUCUAGAUAUUUAACUUUCUGCUUUGUUUUUUGUGUUCCCAUUCCCACCUUUUCAAUUUGGUUCCACUUUGGAGAUUUUGCUUUUUCAUCCACACAUUCUUUGUGGGGUUUGUUUAUUUUAGAGAUUCCUGAUGUUUUUGUUUUGACAUUGUUCUUUUUUAUUUCAUAUGACUUCGUUUUGCAUGAUUUGGUUCUUCGUUAAUAGGGAUUUCUUUGGAGUAUGUGGGAUUUCACUUCAAGAUAUCGUUAUGUUUAUAUUCUCCUCAUCUCUAAGGUUUAAUACUAGUAAAAUUUUAGAAUGGAUGUCUAAUAAUGUGCACAAUAUUUGUUAUUCUUGUACUUAAAACAUCGAUUCCUUUACUGUAUACCUGCUUUGUGAACAUACUAUCACUCUCGUUAGAAUUUUUUGGGUUUUUGGUGCUGAAACUGUUGACCCCACAUCAAAAAGACAGUUUUAAUUAUUCCUUCAGUCGCAAGGCCUGAUUAAAACCAAACUUUUCUUUCCUUUAUUUAUUCAUUUUGUGUGUUCUGCUUUGAUUCUUAUUUAAAUCAAAGUUUGGUGAAUGACAUUUUUUUUAGUUCCAAGUAAUAUAAUUGGUUAAAUUGUUAUGUACCCAGUUGGGGAAUUUCAGUUCUAUCAAAUAUAUUGACUCUGCUGAUUAUGAUGAUAAAAAAUUAUGUUUGAGGGUCUCAAUGUGGUGAAACUUACCUAAAAUGUUCAUGGAUAAUAUUUUUUUUGUUCUUUUUAUUUUCAUUACUUCCAGGUGGUGGUUAAAAAGCAGCAAUAUCUGGGAGAAUUCAUCUCUAAAUGUGCUAAUUUGGAGAGAGUUUUCUUUAUGUUGUGACUUGACUGGUAGCUCAUUCGUUUGUAUAUUGUAGAAUAUUAACAAAGUUGAUUAUGAAAGAGAGGAACACCUUUUCUUUCUUUUCUGUAUUGUACAAUAUUAACUUGCAUUCCUUGGAUUUGACUUUAGGAUGCUUUUAUUUCUUAGUAAGCUUGAAACGUAUACAUAUCUUUCUUACUAGCUUCCGAUUGCACUUUCAAUUUCUUACUUGUCUUUUUCCAUAUUCAUAAUCAAGAUUGAUUAGAUCAGAGUGUGCAACAUUUGUUUUGAUUCUGAAGAUGGUUGAAUAUUUAUUUUGUCUUUUGCUAUAUGCAAUAAUUUUCUCUUUAGAUUGGCAUUGUUUAUUCCUUUUCCUUUUCCUUUCUUUCCCUUUCUUACAAAUGGGGAAUAAAGUUUUAAAUGCUAUACUAGUAUACUUUUUUAGUUUUUCUCUUUUAUUAUCAUAUAAAUCAUGUAUUUAUUUUCUUAUCCCUAGCCCUAAGAUUGGGAUUCUUAACAGAUUUAGCUUUGCUUCUGUUUACUUAAAUAUGAAACUGUCAUCCAUGCUAUUCCAUUACCAUUUUGCUAUGCUAUUUGUCAAGUUUAACUCAGUGCUUGUAGCUUCGAAGUUUAACUCCUUGCAUUUAAAUAGUCCAAAAAAAUAACUAAUGAACUGACAUAGUUCUUUUCUUGCUAGAUUUCUUAACAAAGGAAUUCAUGUUGAUAACUUGUGAUGUUUUUUUAUUUUUUUUUAUCAUUAUUAUUUGUUGUACUUCUUAAGUGGCUAGAUGUUAAACCUUGAUGAUUUUUGUUGUUCUUUGUUUUUAUGUUGAUUUUUAUUGAUUCUGGGAGUUAUAGCGCUUGAAGUGGGUGGUAACCAAGAAUAUAUGCAUCAUAUGAUUCUUCCAAGCUUUCAGAUCGGAAUGUAUGCUGCAAAAGCCUCAGUUUUGUAGCAUGAAUUUGCUUAGUCCGUGCAGACCAUAAUGGGAAGAAGAAUAAACACCAUACCAAACAGUCCGUGGAUUGAAUGCCCCCGUAGGGUUGUGUAGCCAUGAUUUUAGACCACCAUUGCCUUCUUAAUAUAUUGAACAUUUGUAUGUGUUGUGUUGUUGAAGUGAAUGUGUUGUGUUGCUGAAGCGAAUGUGCUGCAGUUAAAUGAACUGAAUGUAAACCUUUCUUAUAUUUUUAUCUUGAUAAACCUUUCUUAUAUUUUUA